rnacentral:rRNA from 1 species
GUAGGGAAUAUUGGACAAUGGGCGAAAGCCUGAUCCAGCAAUGCCGCGUGUGUGAAGAAGGCCUGCGGGUUGUAAAGCACUUUCGGUUGGGAAGAAAAGCACUUGACUAAUAAUCAAAUGUUUUGACGUUACCAAUAGAAGAAGCACCGGCUAACUCUGUGCCAGCAGCCGCGGUAAUACAGAGGGUGCAAGCGUUAAUCGGAAUUACUGGGCGUAAAGCGUGCGUAGGUGGCUAAAUAAGUCAGAUGUGAAAGCCCAAGGCUUAACCUUGGAAUUGCAUUUGAUACUGUUUAGCUAGAGUACAGUAAAGGAAAGCGGAAUUCCUAGUGUAGCGGUGAAAUGCGUAGAUAUUAGGAGGAACAUCAGUGGCGAAGGCGGCUUUCUAGACUGAUACUGACACUGAGGUACGAAAGCGUGGGGAGCAAACAGGAUUAGAUACCCGAGUAGUCC